CUACGGGAGGCUCCAGUGGGGAAUAUUGCACAAUGGGGGAAACCCUGAUGCAGCAACGCCGCGUGGAGGAUGACGCAUUUCGGUGUGUAAACUCCUUUUAUAUAGGAAGAUAAUGACGGUACUAUAUGAAUAAGCACCGGCUAACUCCGUGCCAGCAGCCGCAGUAAUACGGAGGGUGCAAGCGUUACUCGGAAUCACUGGGCGUAAAGCGCGCGCAGGCGGCCUUUUAAGUUGGAUGUGAAAGCCUACGGCUCAACCGUAGAACUGCAUCCAAAACUACUAGGCUAGAGUCUGGGAGGGGAAGAUGGAAUUAGUUGUGUAGGGGUAAAAUCCGUAGAGAUAACUAGGAAUACCAAAAGCGAAGGCAAUCUUCUGGAACAGUACUGACGCUGAGGCGCGAAAGCGUGGGGAGCAAACAGGAUUAGAUACCCCGGUAGUC
rnacentral:rRNA from 1 species